UUUUUUGUAGGUUAACUUAAAUCAUUGUGUUUUCAAUACAGGGAUACCAUUAGGUCUAAAAUU
rnacentral:tRNA from 1 species